AGAGCGAACGCUGGCGGCAGGCCUAACACAUGCAAGUCGAGCGCCCAGCAAUGGGAGCGGCAGACGGGAUAGUAACACGUGGGAACGUACCUUUCAGUUCGGAACAACCCAGGGAAACUUGGGCUAAUACCGAAUACGCCCGUAAGGGGAAAGAUUUAUCGCUGAAAGAUCGGCCCGCGUCUGAUUAGCUAGUUGGUGGGGUAAUGGCCCACCAAGGCGACGAUCAGUAGCUGGUCUGAGAGGAUGAUCAGCAUCACUGGGACUGAGACACGGCCCAGACUCCUACGGGAGGCAGCAGUGGGGAAUAUUGGACAAUGGGCGCAAGCCUGAUCCAGCCAUGCCGCGUGGAUGAUGAAGGCCCUAGGGUUGUAAAGUCCUUUCGGCGGGGAAGAUAAUGACGGUACCGCAGAGAAGCCCGGCUAACUCGUGCCAGCAGCCGC
rnacentral:rRNA from 1 species